rnacentral:rRNA from 1 species
UUAAAAUUGUAGCCAAACAAACCUAAACUACCAAAAAACAAAACAAACCAUUUAAUUUAAUAGUAUGGGCGAUAGAAAUUUGCUAUGAGCAAUAAAAAAGUACCGCAAGGGAAAGAUGAAAUAAAAAUGAAAUAAAUAAUAAAAACAAAGAAAAGAAAAGACUAAACCCUGUACCUUUCGCAUAAUGGUCUAGUAAGUUCAACCUAACAAAAAGAAAUAAAGUUAGCCACCCCGAAACUAGGCGAGCUACUUAAGAGCAGCAUAACCAGAGCUAACCCGUCUCUGUGGCAAAAGAGUGGGGCGACUUUUAAGUAGAGGUGAAAAGCCUAACGAGCCUAGUGAUAGCUGGUUGCUUGAGAAAUGAAUAUAAGUUCAGCUUAAAGUAUUUUUAAUUAUUAAAAAUAAAUAUGGCACUUUAAAGUUAAUUAAUAGGGGUACAGCCCUAUUAAUAAAGGAUACAACCUACAUAAUGAAUAAAGAUUAUAUUAACAAAAGAAAUUAACCAUGUAGGCCUAAAAGCAGCCACCAUAAGAAAGCGUCAAAGCUCAACUUACAAUCCUCCCCUUAUUAUACUAAUAAAAAAAUCUAAAUUCACAAAACAUAUCAAGCCUAUCUACUAGUAGAUGAGUUUAUACUAGAAUGAGUAACAAGAACAAAUUCUCUACAUGCAAGCGUAAAUCAGAACGAAAAAAUCACUGAUAAUUAACAAUUUAAAAUACUCAUCAACGAGAAAAACACAUUAAAACAAUUGUUAACCCAACACAGGAGCAUUAAAAAAGAUUUAAAGAUUAAAAAGGAACUCGGCAAUCACAGAGCUCCGCCUGUUUACCAAAAACAUCGCCUCUUGCCCCCCAAAUAUAAGAGGUCCCGCCUGCCCAGUGAUUAAUUUUAACGGCCGCGGUAUCAUGACCGUGCAAAGGUAGCGUAAUCACUUGUCUUUUAAAUAAAGACCUGUAUGAAAGGCAAAACGAAAGCUCAACUGUCUCUUUAAUCUAAUCAGU